rnacentral:rRNA from 1 species
GACGAACGCUGGCGGCGUGCCUAAUACAUGCAAGUAGAACGCUGAAGAGAGGAGCUUGCUCUUCUUGGAUGAGUUGCGCACGGGUGAGUAACGCGUAGGUAACCUGCCUUGUAGCGGGGGAUAACUAUUGGAAACGAUAGCUAAUACCGCAUAACAAUGGAUGACCCAUGUCAUUUAUUUGAAAGGGGCAAAUGCUCCACUACAAGAUGGACCUGCGUUGUAUUAGCUAGUAGGUGAGGUAACGGCUCACCUAGGCGACGAUACAUAGCCGACCUGAGAGGGUGAUCGGCCACACUGGGACUGAGACACGGCCCAGACUCCUACGGGAGGCAGCAGUAGGGAAUCUUCGGCAAUGGGGGCAACCCUGACCGAGCAACGCCGCGGGAGUGAAGAAGGUUUUCGGAUCGUAAAGCUCGGUUGUAAGUCAAGAACGAGUGUGAGAGUGGAAAGUUCACACUGUGACGGUAGCUUACCAGAAAGAGACGGCUAACUACGUG